GACAGAGGGUGCAACCGUUGUUCGGAAUUACUGGGCGUAAAGCGCGUGUAGGCUGCUUCGCAAGUCGGAUGUGAAAGCCCUGGGCUCAACCCAGGAAGUGCAUUCGAAACUGCAGAGCUGGAGUCCUGGAGAGGAAGGCGGAAUUCUCGGUGUAGAGGUGAAAUUCGUAGAUAUCGAGAGGAACACCGGUGGCGAAGGCGGCCUUCUGGACAGUGACUGACGCUGAGACGCGAAAGCGUGGGGAGCAAACAGG
rnacentral:rRNA from 1 species